AAGCUUAGGUUAACAUGUUUAAACCAGGAGCCUUCAAAGCCCCAAAAAGAGGAUAAUCUCUAACUUCUG
rnacentral:tRNA from 1 species